AACGCGUGGAGCAUGUGGCUUAAUUUGACUCAACGCGGGAAAUCUUACCGGGUCCGGACACACUGAGGAUUGACAGGCAAUAUUAARUACUUUGCUUCGGCAUUGUAUUAUGUUAAAUAUGCUAGUCCUUUCAUGAUUAUGUGAUAGGUGGUGCAUGGCCGUUCUUAGUUCGUGGAGUGAUCUGUCUGCUUAAUUGCGUUUCACUAAGGGCCUAUAADGUUUACGUAUGUUGUAUCGCACUUUGACCCCUUUCUUUWAUUAGAAAGCGCGUGUCUUAGUUUCGCUUUGCUCAUACAAUUAGGUCCUGAAAGCAACGAACGUGACCGCAACCUCUUGUUGCCUUUAUACCAAACAUGUUUAUUCAUUUUUUAAUGUUCAUUCAUGAAAAAAGGCUUUUUAAACUAGAGGGACCGCUGUUACUUUCUUAAACCAGAGGAAGGUUGCGGCAAUAACAGGUCUGUGAUGCCCUUAGAUGUUCCGGGCUGCACACGUGCUACAAUGAUUAUUGCAGUGAGCAUCUCAUUUUUACACACCGCAUGCGCGAGUCCAUUUAUUCACCUUCGGGUGUUUUAAAUGUGUACCUCUGCGCGCGGUAAAGCCUGCUUCGAAAGUAAGUGGGUAAUCAAUUAGAAGUAAUGAUUUCCUUUUUUAGCACACAUAUAUACGGCGUCUAUGCCCGGGUUACCUUGUUGUAGCUUUUGUGUGUAUAGAUGUUUUUUCCGUAUGUGCGAUUGUCAAUUCAUGGUGGGGACAGACCAUUGUUAAUUGUUGGUCUCGGUCUUAACUAGGAAUGCCUUGUACGGGUCUUUGGUUCAACAAACCACCCGGAAUACGUCCCUGCCCUUUGUACACACCGCCCGUCGCUCUUACCGAUGGACUUCUCUGUGAGUUUGAGGGACUGGGAACGCAGGAAUUUAUUUCUGCACACCUAUGGAAACUUAAACGAACAGUGUGGUCUAAAGGAAAGAGAAGUCGUAC
rnacentral:rRNA from 1 species